GCCGGAGUGGCGGAAUUGGCAUACGCGUCGGUCUCAAAAACCGAUCCUCGUAAGGGGUUGUGAGUUCGACUCUCAUCUCCGGCA
rnacentral:tRNA from 1 species